UACGAAGGGGGCUAGCGUUGCUCGGAAUCACUGGGCGUAAAGCGCACGUAGGCGGAUUGUUAAGUCGGGGGUGAAAUCCUGGAGCUCAACUCCAGAACUGCCUUCGAUACUGGCGAUCUCGAGUUCGGGAGAGGUGAGUGGAACUGCGAGUGUAGAGGUGAAAUUCGUAGAUAUUCGCAAGAACACCAGUGGCGAAGGCGGCUCACUGGCCCGAUACUGACGCUGAGGUGCGAAAGCGUGGGGAGCAAACAGG
rnacentral:rRNA from 1 species